rnacentral:rRNA from 1 species
AUUGAACGCUGGCGGCAGGCCUAACACAUGCAAGUCGAGCGAGCGGCGGACGGGUGAGUAAUGUCUGGGAAACUGCCUGAUGGAGGGGGAUAACUACUGGAAACGGUAGCUAAUACCGCAUACCAUCAGAUGUGCCCAGGUGGGAUUAGCUCGUAGGUGGGGGACAGGCUAACCUAGGCGACGAUCCCUAGCUGGUCUGAGAGGAUGACCAGCAACACUGGAACUGAGACACGGUCCAGACUCCUACGCGAGGCAGCAGUGGGGAAUAUUGCACAAUGGGCGCAAGCCUGAUACAGCCAUGACGCGUGUGUGAAGAAGGCCUUCGGGUUGUAAAGCACUUUCAGCGGGGAGGCGUUACCAGCAGAAGAAGCACCGGCUAACUCCGUGCCAGCAGCCGCGGUAAUAC